UGUCAACUUAUUCCCUCCAAGAUCCAAGAUUUGCAACCCCUGACAUUGUGAAAAAGAAGGCAACAUUCCACUUAAACUGUUUUGGCGUAUGUAUAACGCCUUCAAAUUUGUCAAGGAACCCAAUGAAUGUGGAAUUUCUCCAGAGAAAUUGUUAUAAGCUAGAUUAAGAACAGCUAGACUUGUCAUGUUCAUCCAACAAUCUGGAAGUUCUCCUGAGAAUUGAUUGUGUGACAAGUCUAGAGAAGUGGGAGAUGUUCUACUUCGACAAAUUGAAGAGAUGGAUCCAAAAAACUGAUUUUUAUGCAGGUAAAAUAUUUGGACAUUGGUAGGGACUAGUGGCAAAGCCCCUGAAAAGUUGUUAUAGCUUAAAUCUAUAACCCUGUACCCAUAUGUAUUCUCUAUUAAGUCAGACACUCUUCCACUGAUUUGGUUGUUUGAGAGAUUCAAAAUCUUUAGAUCGGGGGGGAAGCUAGAGAACCAACUUGGAAGCGUG
rnacentral:misc_RNA from 1 species